CAUUAACGCAUAUCGUCAAAUGCUCACUACGCAGUUCGCAAAAUGCUCGCCAUUUUGUAACGUACCAGAUGCUAUACUGUACUAUUUUUGUGUUUUUUUACCGUAUUUGACGUCACGAAUUUUAAUGUGAAAGGCUUUCCCCCAGUCAGCAGCGCUCGUAUAUGUUUGGAUUCGGUGAAACAAGCAGAGCAGGUAAUCAGUAAAAUUCUGUUGAUGAUGAAUCGGUAACCUAUACAAGCAAGGGAAAGGGCCGUAGUAAGAACAAGGGUAAACAGAGGGCAAAGCAGAAAAGGGCAGAGCAGUGGACAACGACAGUGAAGGGAACGAGGGAGUAUAACUUACCAAAUGUGACACAGAAAGUGUGAAGCAACAAUUUGAAAAUAGGACAAGGUUAAACGGAUGUCAACUGAUGAUGUGAGAAAACUGUCUGAAAAUAACUGAAAGAGCGCUAGGAAUUGUGUUUGACUUAUAUGAAUUUAAUAAGUACAUCACCAUCACCAUAUAGAUACCAUUUCCCACAAGAACAGACUAGUCCAAGUUGGUAUAAGUGUGGCAAUUAUAGGGAGAUGACAACAGAAAUUGAAAGGAAAUGCUGUGACAACCUUCCACGGAACUGCAGUUCACAACAACCAGUGUGUAUUCAUUGUAUUCACAUGUGAAAUUUUAUCAUUAGACACUUCAGAAAAAUAAUAAUAAAAAUUAAAUGUUUGCCAGUUUGGCUGUGAUUAGUAAAACAAAAAUUAUCUCAAGAUAGAAAUAUUCAGAAUCAAAACGAAUAAUGGGAAUAAAUCAACUAGCCACUGUAAAACCGGCAUUAACAUCUGUAUAUGGUCAAAUAUAACAUUGUUAUCCCAUAAUUAUACUAGCAUAAUUAUGAACGUUUAUCAAAUGUUUCAUACAACCCAGAUAAAUAUUCCAAGUUGUAUUUGUUAUGGUUUCAAGUCAUUGGUAUAAGAGAUAAACAUGAUAUUAACUGCACACCAAUUUUC